UGCUAUGAUUUUUGCGCAGUUUUCGUGCGGUUUUCGGAGCUAAAGGACGCAGCAGCGGUAGCAACAGCAGCAGGAGCAGAAAAAGCAACCGAAGAGGCAGCGCGAUAAAGAAUAGCAAAGGAGUUGUGGUCAGUCCAUCUCCUUCUCACAUCUUAUCCUGCAACACGCCCGGAGGUGGGGCAAGGCAGGCCUACGACAAUAGCAGAACGAGCCCCAUCUGAGGAUUAAUUUGCUUAAAUUUGGCGCGUUUCUCGCGCGACUUCUGUCGCCCUCGCAGAGUGUUUGCCUUGCCACGACUUGGGGCUCUGCUGUUCUUCUCUUUUUGGCUUGGCCGUUGCUCCUGUUAUUGUUGCCGCAUCACAACAAUUACCGUUAUGCUCCAUGUCCGCGAUUUGGGCUCGGCUUCUUUUAGUAUUUUUUUGUUCGCGGUGUCGCUGAUUGUUUUUUUGCCCAGUUUUUUGCAGUGUGGCGUGUGAGAAACAAUUGAAAACAAUCUUUUGUGCGAGAUAGAAACGCGUGUUGAAAAAGUGCUCCAUCAAGAAUAAGAAAAUUAAAGCCUGUGAGAAGGUGAAAAAACGGGCAGGUGAGGGGGCUCUAGAGCUCUGCAAGGACCCUUGGAUUACCUUGCGGGGCAAGCGGAAUCAGCCAGCGAGUUCGCCGCCGGGCGGAACUCCGGCAGAAGCUGAACAAGAGACAGCGAGAGACAAGGCAGAAGAAGCCAAGCGCGAAGCAGAUCAGAUCCACAAGAAAAGGGACA
rnacentral:sRNA from 1 species